AAGAAAAAAAAAAUUAUGGUUUGCAAGCUCUGUGGUUGACUACGAGUGUAAACUAAACAAUUUUGAGUUCAUUGGACACAGCCAAAAUGAUAUAAUGUUUCCAACUUUCCAUUAACAAUCUGUCGCCGCAGCACAUUUCUGUAAAUACGUUGCUAUACUUUCAUGAAUUGAUGAGUUAUUUGAUUUAUUGUAAUUGAACUAGUAAAAACAGUUGAUAUCAUUAAAUCUGAAGUUUUGAUUCUUCAUGUGCAUUUACACUGAUGUACUAUGCAUAAGAAACUGAUUAGUUUUGCUCAAGGACUUCACUUUAAUUUUUGAGGAAGAAACCGUAGGCCCGCAGGAGCUUUUGGACAUUGGAGGGGGAAUAUAGUGGAAGGCUCUGGAUUCAUGAAGGAUCUUCAGCAGAUUGAACACACAGUUUAAACCAGAGAAGGGUAAAAGUUGAUAGUGUGCAACUUGCUGAAUGGUUGAAGAGAUGGCCCCACUGCGCUCCACAGGAUUCAUUGACCCUGGAUGGGAGCAUGGCACUGCUCAAGAUGAGAGGAAAAAGAAAGUCAAAUGCAAUUACUGUGGGAAAGUUGUUAGUGGUGGAAUAUACAGAUUAAAGCAACAUUUAGCUAGAAUUUCUGGGGAAGUUACAUAUUGCAAGAAGGCUCCAGAGGAAGUAUGCUUGAAAAUGAGAGAAGCUUUGGAGGGAAGUCGGUGUAUCAAGAAACAAAGGCAAUCUGAAGAUGAAGAACAGGCAUCUUUGGAUUUUCAUUCAAACGAUGAUUAUGAAGAGGAGGAAGAGCCUGUUAGUUAUAAAAGCAAAGGUAAACAAGUGAUGGGUGAUAAAAAUUUGGUAAUCAGUUUGGCUCCCCUUCGGUCAUUAGGAUAUGUUGACCCGGGUUGGGAACACGGUGUUGCUCAAGAUGAGAGGAAAAAGAAGGUAAAAUGCAAUUAUUGUGAAAAAAUAGUUAGUGGAGGUAUAAACCGUUUUAAACAACAUCUUGCCAGGAUUCCAGGGGAAGUUGCAUAUUGUAAAAACGCUCCAGAGGAAGUAUAUCUUAAAAUGAAGGAGAACAUGAAAUGGCACCGAACUGGCAGGAGACAGCGCCGAUCUGGAGCUAAAGAGAUUUCAGCUUUCUACAUGCACUCAGAUAAUGAAGAUGAAGAGGAAGAGCUGGAGCAGGAUCUUCUACAUGACAGAAGUAAGGAGAAGCUAGUGAUUGGUGAUAAAAGUUUGGGCAAAGAUACGAGGAAAAGACACCUGGGUAGGUCCCCUGGUGAUGGUACCAGUGGUACCAACCUGCGUAUAAAGAGAUCAAGGUUCGAUCCUGUCAUUUUAAAGUCACCAAAAAGUCAAACCCUGCCAUCCUACAAGCAGGUGAAGGCGAAGACAGUGUCAGAUAAAAGAACUCGUAAGGAAGUGAUAUCUGCAAUCUGCAAGUUCUUUUAUCAUGCAGCAAUUCCUUUGAAUGCAGCAAGCUCCCCAUACUUCCAUAAGAUGCUGGAGUUGGUUGGUCAAUAUGGUGAAGGAUUUAAAGGCCCUUCUAGCCGAUUGAUUUCAGGUCGAUUUCUUCAGGAUGAGAUUACACCAAUCAAAGAAUAUCUUGUGGAAUUUAAAGCAUCAUGGUCAAUUACUGGUUGUACUAUUAUGGCAGAUAGUUGGAAAGAUGUACAGGGAAGGGCGUUGAUCAAUUUUUUGGUUUCAUGUCCACGUGGUGUGUACUUUGUUUCUUCCAUAGAUGCAACAGAUAUAGUGGAAGAUGCAUCCAGCCUUUUUAAGUUGUUGGACAAAGUGGUGGAAGAGAUUGGUGAGGAAAAUGUGGUGCAGGUAAUUACUGAGAACACUGCCAGUUACAAGGCUGCUGGGAAGAUGCUGGAGGAGAAGAGGAGGAAUUUGUUCUGGACACCAUGUGCUGCCUAUUGUAUUGAUCGAAUGCUUGAAGAUUUUGUGAAGAUAAAGUGGGUAGGUGAGUGCAUGGACAAAGGCAAAAAAAUUACGAAAUUCAUUUACAACCGAGCUUGGUUAUUAAAUCUUAUGAAAAAAGAAUUUACAGAAGGCCGGGAUCUUCUCCGGCCUGCGGUUACAAGGUUUGCUACGAGUUUUGCUACUUUACAGAGCUUGUUGGACAAUAGGAUAUAUCUUAAAAGGAUGUUCCAAUCAAUCAAAUGGCUUUCAUCCCGGUUCGCCAAAUUGGAUGAGGGAAUGGAAGUUGAGAAAAUUGUGUUAAAUUCUACAUUUUGGAAGAAGAUGCAAUUUGUCAGAAAAUCUGUGGAGCCAAUUGUUCAAGUACUUCAAAAGGUGGAUGGUGAUGAAGGUCUGUCCAUGCCAUCCAUUUAUAAUGACAUGUAUAGAUCUAAGCUAGCAGUGAAGGCUAUUCAUGGGGAUGAUGUACGAAAAUAUGGACCAUUCUGGACUGUCAUAGAUAACCAUUGGAACUCAUUGUUUUAUCAUCCUCUAUAUGUGGCAGCCUACUUCCUCAAUCCAUCGUACCGCUACCGUCCUGAUUUUUUAGCGCAUCCUGAGGUAAUUCGUGGACUAAAUGAAUGCAUCGUUCGACUAGAGCCGGACAGCAACAGGAGGAUUUCUGCAUCCAUGCAGAUUUCUGAUUUUGUUUCCGCAAAAGCUGAUUUUGGAACUGAGUUGGCCAUAAGUACAAGGGCAGAGAUUGAUCCAGGUGCUUGGUGGCAACAACACGGGAUAAAUUGCUUGGAACUACAACGAAUAGCUAUUCGCAUAUUAAGUCAAACAUGCUCUUCUUUUGGGUGUGAGCAUAAUUGGAGUAUUUAUGAUCAGAUCCAUUGCAAGAGGCGCAAUCGCCUGGCUCAGAAAAGAUUGAAUGACCUUAUUUAUGUCCAUUACAACUUGCGUCUUAGGGAGCGCCAAUUGAGAAGAAAGCCUGAUGAUGGUAUCUCCCUUGACAAUGUCCUGAUAGAAAGCCUACUAGAUGACUGGAUUGUAGAGACAGAGAAACAAGCGCUGCAAGAAGACGAGGAGAUUCUCUAUAAUGAGAUGGAGCAAGCAGAGGCAGAUGAAAAUGAGUUGAUUGAGAAUGAAGAUGCAAAUGAUGAGACAAGAAAGGGAACUUUGGAGAUGGGGGCAUUGGUGGAAUUAGUUGAACCUUUGGAGGUUCACCCUGCAAAUAUAGUUGCUGCUACUGAUGAUGAUGAUAAUGAUGAUCUUGAUUUUCUUGAUGAUGAUUUGAGUGAAUAAUUGAUUUAUGUUGCUCGUCUAGUACGGAUGAAGUAGUUAAUUUGAAGAAUGCUUACAAUAAUUGAAUAGUGAUAAGGCAAUGCUUUGAAGUUACCCAAAGAAAUUCUGAUGAUGUAAUUUGUUGUGUAAUUUAUCAAUUCAGAGGUAAACAAUGUUGAUUCCCAGAGUGUGAACAGCCAGAAUUUUGAGUAUCUACCCCAUGCCUCUGUGCUACAUGAUUCAGUAGAUUGAGAGCAAGCUUCCAGUGAUUUUGGUUUGUGCCACUUUUGGUUAGGGGGAUGUUCAGAUUAAUCUAUUAUAGUCCACUUUUAAUAUUUCU